rnacentral:rRNA from 1 species
GACUUCUGGUGUAAUGCGCCUGGCCCGCGGCUCUUUAGGCCUGUGAGUGCCGGAGCGCGUUUACCAUCCUUCUGGGGAACGGGUCUACCCUUUACUGGGCCGGAUUCGGGAUCCAGAUCAUUUACUUUGAAAAAAUUAGAGUGUUUAAAGCAGGCUAUUGCUAUGAAUACAUUAGCAUGGAAUAAUAAUCUAGGACUUUCGGUUCUAUUUUGUUGGUGUUCUGGAGCUGAAGUAAUGAUUGAUAGGGAUAGUUGGGGGUGCUAGUAUUCAAUGGCCAGAGGUGAAAUUCUCGGAUUCCUUGAAGACUAACUUAUGCGAAAGCAUU